rnacentral:tRNA from 2 species
GGAGAGGUGGCCGAGUGGCUGAAGGCGCUCCCCUGCUAAGGGAGUAUACCGGGAACGGUAUCGAGGGUUCGAAUCCCUUCCUCUCCGCCA